CCCAUGUUGGAUCGCGAACAAAUACCCCACACUCUUCCGUAAAUAAGAAUCAUAAGGUACAUAACCCAAAACUCGAAACCCUAAACUCGCUUGUUGUUCUAAAGACAAGUAAAUUGCACCCUUCAAGGACCAAUCAUUUGGUGUCCUUGAAUUCCCAAUUGCAAGCAAUUGCCAACCUUUAAUUCUAACAAGCUUUUUAAGCGAAUCGGAAGGGUAAUGAGAGACACUAACAACAAUCCAUUUCUCUGACCGGAAAUUCGCAUAAGUCGAAGACUUGUCAGUGAUUGCUGGAAUAUUGUUCCAAUCUAUGCGAGGGAAAUGAUGGGUUUUGUCUAGAGGUUGUGCUUGUGAUUGAAGGUAGAGAAAAGCGGCGGUGUCACCAGUGCUCCGGAGGAAGAAGAUGGCGGCGACAGUGGCGAUCAGCACUGUGAUUGUGAUGAUUUUGUAGAAAUUCUCGGAUACCCAUGUUGAGAAAUCUAAAGAUUUUGACUCUGAGAAGCGCUGGUGGAGGUCGUGUGGUGGUGGUUGAUGGUGGGUCUGAUUUGGGAUUUGGGAGAUUUUGGAUUUGUUGUUACCGGCCUUGGACCAACAUUGGUAAAAGCAAAAUGGGUACUUCUUGAUUUCGGUUUUUUCGAAGAGAUUGAGCUUCAAUUCGUGUGGUGAAAUUGUGAGACUUUGAAGAAAUUGAAGAUCAAAGUUUCAAUCCUCUGUGUUUCUUCGAGUUAUUGAUUGAACUUGAAAGCUUCAAUCUUUUUGAGUCUCUCUUAUUCAAUAUAACAUUGACUCUCACUGUCAAAACGUUUUCUUGAUUUUCUCGUCUCUCUUCUAAACACAACACAGUACACACUCUCCUCCUCUCUCUCACUCUGCUUGUUUUUUUUUCAGUGUCUCUCUCUAGAAGUAAGUUACAACAACAACGUCUCCUAUCCUUUUCUUUCUCUGUCUAGAAAUGAAACAGAAGUCAGAUUGUUAGCAGCUAACAAAGAAAGGAAAGAAGUUUGCUGUUGGCUGCCGACGAGGUAAGGGUUGGGUACGGGGUUGCUUAGGCUUGAAUGUUGUGUAAUGUAACGUACCUGCUACCUCUUGUUGAAGGGGGGUGGGGUGUCACUGUCUCUGUUUAGUUUUUCUCUCUUUUAUCAUUUUUUAUUUUUUUUGCUUGGGUCAUUGGAUGAUUUCAGAUUCCCAAUCUGCUGCAAUUAAUCUUGUCGGCUUGAUUGAUUUUAAAUUAAUUUUAUUAUUUUUAAUUUUAACUCGCAAGUAUCUUGCUUAUAUGACUGUUUGGUAAUGUGGUGUAACUUGUUUUUUGAAAAAAUUUAAAUUUUUUUUAGUUUUGUUAAAAUUGAGUGCGGUUUGUACUUUCUGGAUCGUUUUGAUGUGCUGAUAUCAAAAAUAAUUUUUUAAAAAUAAAAAAAUAUUAUUAGCAUGCUUUUCGGUACGAAAAGCUAUUUGAAAAGCAACCGCUACUACACUUCUAAAUACCUCAUAUAUCAUGAUUUUCUCUCAAAUUAGAUUUAAAAAUAAAUCUGGAGCAAAUUUAAUGUAUGAAGAACUAGAUCAUUCUAGAUCUAAUUGUAGCAAAUCAUUUAGGAACAGAACAAUGCAUUCGAGAGAGAAUUUAUUUCUCUCCUCCAUUUCUUGUAAGAUUCGAUCUUCAGUCUCAAUCAAUAACUUAAAGCUGUAAAUGUGAUUUUUUGAAAAAGAAAAAAAAAGUGUUUUGCUUAUCUGUCAUGUGGGGGCCAGUGAGUAGAAAAAAAGAAGAAGAAUUCAAUGUCCACGUGUUGUUGCGGUAGUUGCCAGCAAGGGAAGCAACUUGUUUGGCUAUGGCCAUUUGAGUCUGUGCGGGUACGGCAGAUUCUGCUAGCUUGGGACAUUGCUAAACAAAAUGCUUUCUAUGUUUUUUUGCGGAUUUUUCUUUUUUUCUUAAAUAAUAUAGUUUGUCAAAAGUUUUGUUACAAAAACACGUUGAAAAAAGAUUUAAAAAAUAAUACAAUUAGAAUACAACUGUAUUUUAGAAUAUAUGAUUGAUAUUUAAAAUAAUGGUCGAUGUUUUAAAAUAUACUUUUAUACACCAUUGUUAUUUUAAAUUGUAGAUUUUUAGGUAUGUUUCAAAACAAAUUUUUUUUACAUAUUAAUUAACCUAAACAAAAAUCAACUCAAAAAUUUAUAAAAAUAAUGCAAAAAUAAGAUUCAAAAUUUAGUGAUUAAAAAAAAAAUAAGAUAAAGUGAUGUGACAUGAAAAAAAAAUAUAGAAAAAAAAAAGAAUCAGUUAACAAAGACAUAUCAAAGCUUUGUUUUUUAACAAAAAUAUAAAACUCACAUCCAGUAUCAUUAGAAAAGAUCUUGACGAGACGAUUCUGAAUAUACCCUAGAAAAGCACCAAACAAGAUUAUAAUUAACUCCAAACAAAACCCUUCACAAUUUAUAAUCAUGUUUAAUGGUUUUUUANNNNNNNNNNNNNNNNNNNNNNNNNNNNNNNNNNNNNNNNNNNNNNNNNNNNNNNNNNNNNNNNNNNNNNNNNNNNNNNNNNNNNNNNNNNNNNNNNNNNNNNNNNNNNNNNNNNNNNNNNNNNNNNNNNNNNNNNNNNNNNNNNNNNNNNNNNNNNNNNNNNNNNNNNNNNNNNNNNNNNNNNNNNNNNNNNNNNNNNNNNNNNNNNNNNNNNNNNNNNNNNNNNNNNNNNNNNNNNNNNNNNNNNNNNNNNNNNNNNNNNNNNNNNNNNNNNNNNNNNNNNNNNNNNNNNNNNNNNNNNNNNNNNNNNNNNNNNNNNNNNNNNNNNNNNNNNNNNNNNNNNNNNNNNNNNNNNNNNNNNNNNNNNNNNNNNNNNNNNNNNNNNNNNNNNNNNNNNNNNNNNNNNNNNNNNNNNNNNNNNNNNNNNNNNNNNNNNNNNNNNNNNNNNNNNNNNNNNNNNNNNNNNNNNNNNNNNNNNNNNNNNNNNNNNNNNNNNNNNUUUAUUUGAGAAUCUUUUCAAUUCUUAUCCGAUCCGAUCCGUUCUUUUUUUUUUUUUAUGUUCAAAAUUGAUUAGAAAUUUUUCUAUUUUGUUUCUUGUUAGUUUAAUGUUUGGAUAUGUGUUUGGUUCUCUAGUGGGUUAACGCUCCUGUAUUCUUCAAAACUCAACCACUCAAAAGAGCUGAGGAUUUAGUAAAACCCAGUUUAGAUAUGUAAGAACAGGUUCCAAAAGUUCUUUGUUUUCUUUCUAUAGAAAUUUACUGAAGUAGCUCUGGUUUCUAUAUGUCCAAAUAAUUAUGUCAAGGAAAGCCAGUUUCUUGUGAAUAUCAUACGGGCCUAAAAAUGUCGAUCAUGAAGAUCAUGGUUCUUUGAUGAUUUGAAAUCAUCUGAUCUGGUUUGUUGAUUCAAAAUCAUUUGAUUUGAGAAUUCUGUAUAGCAUUAUAUUCCAGAUAAUUUCCAUGGUAUCAAUGGCUUCCCAUAUAUUUGGUACACAAUAAGCCUUCAUCACUUUGCUAGCCUAACAAAUGACAGAAAACGUGCGGUGACACCCAGUUUUACCUUUUUUCUAGUUAUACAGCUAUUAAUUAUUCCCAAGGCAAAGUAGCAUUGGUAAUUUGUUGCCUUUUCUCCUUAUGAGUUUCAGUCCAAGCUCGAACACUUUCUAUGAUGUUAGUUUGUUUCACUGGAUGUGAUUUUUUUACAAAUUAAACUCUGCUUAACAUUCAUAUUUGUAUCUGUAGCUAUCUUUAUUUAUUAUGGAAACUUAAUAUGUUGCAGUGCAAAUCCCCAUAGUUUCCUUAAAUGAUGAUGGAAAAAUAGUACUUGUAUCGGAGGAAGAUGAGGGAGCAAAAUUGGAGAAGGAGCCUGUCAACAAGGAAAAGAGGAAGCUCAAACUGAGCAGCAUUCCAUUUUCAUUAACAUGCAUACUUCAUAAAAAAUACAUCUUGGCAGACCCCACUGCAGAGGAAGAGUCCAUCAUGGAAACUCUUGUAACUGUGGUUUUGGAUUCAUCUGCCAGACUUGUAUCUUUUUACAAGCCAGGUGGAUCAUUUCUUGCCUAUACAUCAGCUGUCCAGGUUAGUUUGUGCUUUUGAUAACAUAGAUCCAUGGCUCCCAAAAUAUAAUUUGAUGUUGAAGUAACUACUUAAAUUGUCAUAAAGAUAGGAAGUAGCACAGUCUGUCCUUUAGAACCAUGGCAAUGGAAGCAACAGGCACAUUUGGUUCUCUACAUCGAGAUAAAUCUGUUACCUAUUCUGGGGAGUGGCAUUGACUUGAUGAUAAAGUUUUCACAUUCAAGACUCUUAAAAGUUUUGAACUACUGGGGUUUGUGUGGAAAUUUGAAAUUUUGACAUGGCUUACCUUCAAAUGCCCAGAUCAUUUUAGGAAUUCUAAUCCUUAACACAAGUGAUGUUUAAUGAGGUAGAUCUGUUUGGCUGGGUUUUCUUGUUCCAAAUGUGUUAAAGACAGUACACAAGAGCAGAUAGCUAGGAAGUGAUAUAUUCAAGCCUUUCAAAUAAAACCAAUGGAACUUUCUAUUAACGUACAGGAUACAUUUCUAGCCAUUUGGUUAGAACUCCUAGUAUGGUUUGCAUCAUCACUUGUUUCUUGGUUAGACAUAAGUGAAUAGUGAGAUGUUUGAUGCUUACAAAGAAGUGGCUUGCUGAGGUUGCAGGAUUGCGUUGCAUUGACAAGGCAGAGAGUCAAGGAACUUCAAGAGAUUUUAGACGAGGCCAUUUCUGGUAUGGAGAUCGACUAAGUUUCAUUUGAUAGGGAGUAAUUCUACAGUUUAAAAUACAAUGCUCGUUCUAUCUUCUUCCUACUGUGUAAUGAGUGAUUCUGAAAGAGAUUUUUUGAGGUAAAAGUUAUUAGCGAAUUAUUACUCGUCAAUGAAGAGCUGUUGAUGACAUUUUCUUCCAUCUUUAUUACAAAUCACAAAAAAAAACUAGAAGGUAGCUAUUUACUGUGUAUUGUUUGGAGAAAUAUCGUGGAUUCUGAUAAUGUAGUGGUAUUUAUCUUUCAUUGCACUUAACAAUUGCCUUGAAAGCUGGGGUAAAAUCAUCUUUUACAGUAAAAAUAUUUUUUUGCCUUUAAAAGCUAAAAAAAUUAGCGGCGUGUAUGGUCAGACUGGUGAUAAUUUGUCUGCUAUGGAAUUUUUUCCUCCUUUUUCUUUUCUCUCUCAUAGGUCUUAGUAUUCGUGCCCAGCUUUUAAAAUUUUAGUUGUAUCUUUCAAUUUAUAUUUAUUUUGAAUUUGGUUUUUAUUUUUUAUUUUUUAUUUUUUUAAUGCUUCUUAAAGUAUUUUUUUUUAUUUCAUCUUUUAUCAUUUAAUUUUAUAUGAUUUUUGUAUCUAAUCUAGUCCUUAUUUUUUUAUUAUCAUUUCCAGUAUUAUUUUUUUCUAUUUUGUCAUUUAGAAUUUAAUUUAAAUUUUUAAAAAUUAUUCAUUCAACUAUCACGUGAGUUUUUUUUUUACAUAUAUAUGAUCUUUUUAUAUGAAAUUCUCUUACGAAUCACUUCAAUAUACAUGUUGUGUGAUCAGAACUUGUAUAUUAAUUUCAAGUAUAUAUUAUAUAUCAGUUUAUAAGAAUAAUUGUUUCUUUUUAUAUAAAAAAUUAUAUAAUAUGCAUUGGUUUUAAAACUCUAAUUAAUAUUUAAUUUUAAUAAAAUAUUAACAAAAAAUAUUUAGGAAUUAAUAAUGCUUUGAUAUAAUAAGAAUACCAUAAUUAUAAUUAUUUUUGUAAAAUAUUUUUGUAAUAUGAAUCUUAUUUUUAUUCUAGAUUAUCAAUUAAGCAUUAAAUUUAUUAAUCAAAUAUUAAUAAAUAUCAAAGAUAAUUUUUUUUUAUUAAUAAUAAAUAUAAUUUAAACAAAUAAAAUCAGUUUUACAUGUAAUUAAUCAUCGACGAGCUAUAAGAUACAUUAACUAGAGUAACAUCAAACUCUCUCUCUUGCGUGUUCAGGUAGAUCAACUGGUAACUAGAAUUGUUUUGGCAGCAUAUUCUGCAUUACUCAUUUUGAAGGCAAUCCCCCCUCCCCUCCCCUCCCUUCUUCUCUACUUCAAGAACUUGGAACGACACCGUUUCUUGACUUGCACAUGGUAUCAACUACUAAGCGAAAACCUUUAGCUUGACUCUGUAUCAGAUGGCCUCCUGUGGUGUGAGGUCUAGCUUUCUCUUAGUUUUUUUUACUUGAUUUUUUUUAGUAUACAUUCAUCAAGUGACCAGAGAAUAUGAGGGCAUUUAUUCUAAAGCUGCUUUAUGGGAUUCAAACUUCAAAGCCACGUUUUCUUCAACAAUGAUCAAACAUUUCUUCAAAUUGAAGCACAAGGCUGAUGGUUCUUGAAACUUUCUUCUUUGGAUUAUAGUAUUGCUUGAUGGAUUGUGCUUGUAAAGUGGUUUCUGGCUCAUUUAUGGCGAUUCUCAAAUUGAGUUGUGUGUGAGUUGGAUAUAAGGGGACUCGAGGCUUUAUUGCAAUUAUGGCCCUUCCAAGAAAAUUCCUCUAACCAAUGGCUAAAUGUAGACUUGUCAUGGCUUGGAUUAACAAGUGUAGCAAUCGGAAGUCCCACGCCGCGUCCUGUACUCAAAAUUUUAUUUCACUCAACCAAAUAAAACUCGAGCAAAUUCAGGGUAAUUCUACUAUCUUUUAAUUAAAGAUAUAAUAUUAAAAUAACUUUAUAAAAAUAAAAAUAAAACAAAUAAUGAAGUUUAAAGUCUAAUAUUUAAUGAUAAAAUUUUAAAUAAAAUAAAAAUGACCUAAAGAAACCGAUGUUAAAUGGAUAUAAUCUUCGAAAUUAGUAUUGUCAUUAGACCUAUCCUAAUAUAAAAACUAAAUGAAAGAGAAUAAUAAGGGACUAAAUUAGAAAAUAAAAUAAAUUAAAAAAUGGAUAAAAACGACAAUAAAAAAUAAGGACCCAUAUUGAAAAAAAAUUGAAAUAAAAUGUUUAAUGAUGAAAUUGAUACAAAAAACAAAAAAAAAAGGAUUAAAAAUAUUAAUAAAAAAAAUAAUGAUCAAAUUAAAUAAAAAAAAUUAAAUGAGAUGAAAUGUCUUGGGAAGAAUCGAAGAAAAAGACUUCAAAAAGCAUUAAAAACAAAAUAAAAAGCAAUCGAAAAAAUAAAGACAACAAUUGGAGGACAUGCUUGAAUUUUAGAAGGUUCGACACGAAAAUCAAAGUGUAGAGAGAGAAAAGAAAGAGGGAAAGAAAAGAAUAUUCAUCGGCAAUCAAUCAUAUCUCUGUCAUUUACAUGUGUCAUACCAUCAUGAAGAGGACAACGCGUUGCUUCUAACAUCAUCGUGAAUUCUAACAUUUGAACACCAAGAGGAAUUGCAUUUGUUAUCCAAAUAGCAUAGGUGCCUCCUACUUGAUAACACGUGCAUAACAUGCAUUAAUAACUUUUUUAUUUUUCAAUCAUUUUUAUAUAUGUUCAAAGAUCUAAUUGCUUCUCAUUUAAAUUGACAAUAACCAAAAAAAAAAAACUUCUGCAUUGAAAGACCUAAUCAAUCCUAACCAACAAUAUUAUUUUUUAGAAAUGUAAAGGUGUUACGAAUCAUUUAACUAUAUAUUUAAAGGUUAAAAAUACCUAAAAAACAUUUUUUUUUAACUUUUUAAGGGCAUGGAUACAUUGUUCAUUUAAAAUAUAAAAUCAUUUAAAAAAUCCUGGAUGUAAUACAUGCAUAACAAAUUAAUCGCACAUGUACAUGUGCCACAAAUUAGUGCCCAUGUAUGUCAUACUUGCUCGACCAAGAUUGGAAAAUGUAUCUAGUGGUUUUAAAAUGGAGCUUUCACGUGUGUUUUGUAUUUGAUUAAAAGUAUAAUAUACGAUAAAUAAUUAAACUUUUAGAAAAUGUGUUUUUUGUUUAGUAAAAAUAGAGAGAAGGAGAGAAUUUUAUCUUCACAAUAAAAGAACAAAAAUCAAGCAAAAACAAGAAAUUAUAAGGAUAAAAUUGUAUAAUUAUAAAACUUGAAUCAGUUUAUCAAUUUAACCAGAGCUUGAAUGAUCCAAAACUUGGACUCGAUAAACUAGAACACAAAUCAAAUAUAUAUAUAUAUAUAUAUAUAUAUAUAUAUAUAUAUAUAUAAAGAAAAAUCUAGUUACCUCAAUCAAAAACAUAGACUAAUUUAAUGAUAUGGUAAACCUGAGUUUAAUCUAAUCAAAACUUGAGCCUUAACCUUUUCUUUUUUAAUUAAAAUAAUAAUAUUUUAUUAUUUUUAUAAAAAUAUUUGGAUGUACCCUCCGGAUAUUUCAUUUCAGUUUUAUAAUUAUGCAAAAUUGUACCAUUGCCGCCGAAACUAUUUCUGCGGAAAUAAAAUAAAAGAAAAAGAGAGCGAAGGAUCAGAUUAUCUUCUCUAGUUUCAAACAAUAGAAUGUUGUGCGAAUAACAAAUCCUCAUGUUUAAUUAAUUUCGAAUCUUGGUGGUCGUCCAUGCAUGAAUGCUAUGUUAGAAUUAAAAAUAUUGCUUGCUUUUCACUGAGAACACAAUCAAAAUGAAGAAUCUAUUACAAGGCAAAAAGGCCCCUCUUACACUGCAAGAAAAAAAUCUAAUCACCAAUUUCCCUAUCAUCAUCCAAUUCCUCCUCAGUUGCUUCUGGGAAUCCAAUUCAACCAAUCAGAUUCCAGGAAACUCCAUCGUAAAAACCCUAACAGAUAGAUGGGGGUAUACACACUCCCAUUAUAGUUCCUUGACUACCGAUUUCGCCACGUGUCCUUCCCUCUCACCACUAACCAUAAUAACCAACUUUUCUCCUCUGAAAUGCCACUCUGCACCUCCACACAGGAAUUAUAAACUCACAGCAUUUAACCUCCUGGGAAAAAAAAGGAAGAAGAAUAAAGAAACACAAUUGAACCACGACCAAAAACAGUGACAAGAAACAGAAGCAGAUUCGUAAAUUUUUUCUUCCGAAAUCUGUUUUCUCUAGCUUUGUUUCUCCCUCUCUCCAAUUUAGAAACAGAGAGGAGAAACAGAGGGCUCUGUUUUUUGAGUUGCUUAAAGCGAGCUUUUUCCUACCAAGAAUGGCUUCUCUAGUGUCCUCUCCAUUCACUUUACAGUCAGCCAAACCAGACCAACUCUCUUCACUAUCUCAAAAACACUACUUUCUUCACUCAUUUCUCCCCAAGAAAAUCAACCAAACCAACUUCAAGUCUUCAUUGAAAGUACAAUGUGCUGCAAUUGGCAAUGGCCUAUUCACACAAACAACCCAAGAAGUUCGCCGAAUAGUACCUGAGAACAACCAGAACCUCCCCACUGUGAAGAUAGUCUACGUAGUCCUUGAAGCUCAGUAUCAAUCUUCACUCACUGCAGCAGUUCAAGCUCUUAACAAGAGCUCCAAAGAUGCAUCAUAUGAAGUUGUUGGUUACUUAGUAGAGGAGCUUCGUGAUGAAUCCACGUAUAAAACUUUCUGUAAGGAUCUUGAAGAUGCAAAUAUCUUUAUUGGGUCAUUGAUUUUUGUUGAGGAGCUUGCAUUGAAGGUUAAAGCUGCCGUGGAGAAAGAGAGGGAUAGGCUUGAUGCAGUUUUAGUUUUCCCUUCAAUGCCUGAGGUAAUGAGGCUUAACAAGUUGGGUUCUUUCAAUGUCACAGCUUGGUCAAUCAAAGAGUCCAUUCUUUCAGUUGUUCAAGAGAAAGAAGCAGGGUGCAGGUUUUGCUGACAGUAUGUUGAAGUUAGUGAGAACUCUGCCUAAGGUUUUGAAGUACUUGCCUAGUGAUAAAGCUCAAGAUGCUAGGCUUUAUAUCUUGAGUUUGCAGUUUUGGCUCGGUGGGUCACCAGAUAAUUUGCAGAAUUUCUUGAAAAUGAUAUCCGGGUCUUACGUUCCUGCGUUGAAGGGGAAAAGGAUUGACUAUUCUGAUCCAGUUUUGUUCCUGGAUAGUGGAAUUUGGCACCCUUUGGCUCCUUGUAUGUAUGAUGAUGUGAAGGAGUACUUGAAUUGGUAUGGAACCAGGAGAGAUGCUAAUGAGAAGCUUAAAGACCCUAAUGCACCAGUGGUUGGACUGGUUUUGCAAAGGAGUCAUAUUGUAACUGGUGAUGAGAGUCACUAUGUGGCUGUGAUCAUGGAGUUGGAGGCAAAAGGUGCUAAAGUGAUUCCAAUUUUCGCUGGCGGGCUUGAUUUUUCAGGGCCCGUUGAGAGGUUUUUUAUUGAUCCAGUUACAAAGAAACCAAUGGUGAAUUCGAUGGUAUCAUUGACUGGUUUUGCUCUUGUUGGAGGGCCGGCAAGGCAGGAUCAUCCAAGAGCUGUUGAGGCGUUGAGCAAGCUUAAUGUUCCUUACAUUGUUGCAUUGCCUUUGGUGUUUCAAACAACUGAGGAGUGGUUAAAUAGUACUUUGGGUCUGCAUCCAAUUCAAGUGGCUUUGCAAGUUGCUCUUCCAGAGCUUGAUGGUGGCAUGGAGCCUAUUGUUUUCGCCGGCCGAGAUCCAAGAACAGGUAAGUCUAACUUCCUUCUUUAGUCUGUCCUCUUACUCUUUGUUUUGUUCUUUGUCAUUUCUCAUAUGAUUUUAGGUACCACCAUUAUAUUUUGUAAUCUACAUUAAAAUUUAGAGCUGCUAUUAUUUCCAAAAUAGACAAAUAUUCAAAGAAACUACAGUUCUAACAGUCUUUAUCUUUCAAUGCUUAUAUUUUACAAGUUGAAACUGGGAAGUUUCUUCAUUACUUGAAUUCGAAGCAGUACUUCUACAUGCACACAUGGCCUCAAAUUCUUUAAGUAUUAAUAAGAGAAAAUACUUUAAUUUAAUUGCAGGGAAAUCACAUGCUCUUCACAGGAGGGUGGAGCAGCUCUGCACAAGGGCAAUCAGAUGGGCUGAACUGAAAAGGAAAACAAAGGUUUUUUCCUUCAUCCUACAUAUCUUCCUAAUCUUUAAACACUGAAUCAUAUUUUUUGUUUUAAACCUUGAGGUUUCUUGUUUACUUCCAGUUAAUUAGAAAACAAUAUUUGAACUACGAAGCAUAAAAGUUCGUAAUGCUUAGGCAAUCUUCAUGAUGCUUAAAACACAAUGAAGCAGCGCAUCAUUCCCAGCCUCAUUUCAUUUGCUUAGAAGUGAAACGAGAAUUUCUUUGAAAGUAAAAAUAACGAAAAUGAUCUGUUUUUGACAAAUUUUAUUAGAGAUAAUGGAAAUGAUUAGAGUCUGAUAGGUGCAUGUAUUUACUAUUAGUAGGCCUCUUUGCUGAUGUAAACCUCUGUUAUCACAUUGUAUAUGUGCACUAAUAGUUGAUUAGCAAUGAGCUUUAUAGUUCAACAACUGCUUACAACGUAAAUAUGAUGCUGAUUGGAUGAUCAGGAUAGGCUGUCCACUUCUGUCAUUUUUUAUUUACUCAUCUCCCUCUCUCUACUUUGUGACGGAAGAUUCACAUUUUCAUUUCCCACUCUAUAUUCUCAUAUAAAACAAUACUUGAAUUCAAUUGAAUAUAUUUUUUCGUCACAUAAUGACAAGUUUAUUACCUCAUGCAGACUGAGAAGAAGUUAGCAAUCACUGUCUUCAGUUUUCCUCCAGACAAGGGAAAUGUUGGGACAGCAGCCUACCUUAAUGUCUUCUCAUCCAUCUUCUCAGUUCUGAAAGAACUACAAAAGGAUGGCUACAAUGUUGAGGGCCUUCCGGAGACUUCAGAAGCCUUGAUUGAAGACAUAAUCCAUGAUAAAGAGGCUCAAUUCAGCAGCCCAAAUCUGAACAUUGCUUACAAAAUGGGUGUUCGAGAAUACCAAAGCCUUACUCCAUAUGCCACUGCUUUGGAAGAAAACUGGGGCAAACCUCCUGGAAAUCUGAAUUCUGAUGGAGAGAAUCUCUUGGUGUAUGGAAAACAGUACGGUAAUAUCUUCAUCGGAGUCCAGCCCACUUUCGGUUAUGAGGGUGAUCCUAUGCGACUAUUGUUCUCCAAAUCAGCUAGCCCACAUCAUGGGUUUGCAGCUUAUUACUCCUUCGUGGAGAAAAUUUUCAAAGCUGACGCAGUUCUUCAUUUUGGCACUCAUGGUUCGCUUGAAUUCAUGCCAGGGAAGCAGGUGGGAAUGAGUGAUGUUUGUUAUCCUGACAGUCUCAUUGGGAAUAUCCCUAAUGUCUACUAUUAUGCAGCUAACAACCCAUCUGAAGCCACCAUUGCUAAACGCCGCAGCUAUGCAAAUACCAUUAGCUAUUUGACCCCUCCAGCUGAAAAUGCUGGGCUUUACAAGGGCUUGAAGCAGUUAAGUGAGCUUAUCUCCUCGUACCAAUCCCUCAAAGACACAGGUCGUGGGCCACAAAUUGUGAGCUCCAUUAUCAGUACAGCUAGGCAAUGUAAUCUUGACAAAGAUGUUGAGCUUCCUGACGAGGGAAUGGAGAUCUCUGCAAAGGAGCGAGAUCUUGUUGUUGGAAAAGUAUACUCCAAGAUCAUGGAGAUUGAAUCCCGGCUUUUGCCCUGUGGGCUUCAUGUCAUUGGUGAACCACCAUCUGCAAUGGAAGCUGUCGCAACGUUGGUUAAUAUUGCUGCCUUGGACCGUCCUGAAGAUGGGAUUUCAUCGCUCCCAGCAAUAUUAGCUGAAACUGUUGGACGAAACAUAGAGGAGGUAUAUAGAGGGAGUGAUAAGGGAAUCUUGAUGGAUGUAGAACUUCUUCGGCAAAUAACCGAGGCCUCCCGUGGGGCCGUCUCUGCCUUUGUACAGAAAACAACUAACAAUAAGGGUCAAGUUGUAGAUGUCGCAGAUAAGCUUACCUCGAUCCUUGGGUUUGGAAUCAAUGAACCAUGGGUUGAUUACUUGUCAAACACAAAAUUCUACCGGGCAGAUAGGGUUAAGCUGAGAACACUAUUCCAGUUCUUAGGAGAAUGUUUGAAACUGGUAGUGGCUGACAAUGAGCUGGGGAGUUUGAAACAAGCCUUGGAGGGCAAAUAUGUGGAGCCAGGGCCUGGUGGUGACCCAAUCAGAAACCCAAAGGUGUUGCCAACUGGAAAGAACAUUCACGCACUAGAUCCACAAGCCAUUCCGACAACAGCAGCAAUGCAGAGUGCAAAAGUUGUGGUCGACAGAUUAAUUGAGAGGCAGAAGGCUGACAAUGAUGGGAAGUAUCCUGAGACAGUUGCACUUGUAUUGUGGGGAACUGAUAAUAUCAAGACCUAUGGUGAGUCCCUGGCUCAAGUCUUGUGGAUGAUUGGAGUCAGGCCAGUAGCUGAUACCUUUGGUAGGGUUAACCGGGUGGAACCUGUAAGUCUUGAAGAGCUUGGAAGGCCUAGGAUUGACGUCGUGGUCAAUUGCUCAGGAGUGUUUAGAGAUCUCUUUAUAAAUCAGGUACUAGGUCGUUUUCAUAUAACUCAUUUGUUUUCAUUUGGGGAAAAUCAUGAGGAUCGGUUCAUAAUAUUUAACAUGUGAAUAUUUCACUUCUUUGUGUUCUCUUACUUUAUUGUCUGACUUUUUUUUUUCAAUCUUUCACCGAUUAACUUCUGUGUCAUUUUUCCUUUAUUUUAUCCACAGAUGAACCUCCUCGACCGUGCAGUUAAGAUGGUAGCUGAACUAGAUGAGCCAGCUGAUCAAAACUAUGUCAGGAAGCAUGCUCUAGAGCAAGCUGAAGCCCUUGGUGUUGACAUUCGAGAAGCUGCAACUCGUGUAUUUUCGAAUGCCUCAGGAUCAUACUCCUCAAACAUAAACCUUGCAGUGGAGAACUCUUCGUGGAAUGAUGAGAAGCAGCUUCAAGACAUGUACUUAAGCAGGAAGUCCUUCGCCUUUGAUUGCGAUGCCCCAGGUGCAGGCAUGACGGAGAAAAGAAAAGUUUUUGAGAUGGCUCUGAGCACAGCGGAGGCCACUUUCCAAAAUCUUGAUUCCUCAGAGAUCUCACUCACUGAUGUGAGCCACUAUUUUGAUUCAGACCCAACAAACCUGGUGCAGAACAUGAGGAAGGAUAAGAAGAAGCCUAAUGCUUACAUUGCAGACACAACAACAGCUAAUGCUCAGGUUAGCAAUUGGGCGACUACUGCGAUUGCUAUCUCUUUUAAUUCCAAAGGCUUUGAUUCAACAGUCGAAUCUAGUAAUUAAUAAGUUUUAAAAAACAUCAAAUUUUGUCUCUUCCAGGUACGUACUCUAGCUGAGACUGUGCGGCUUGAUGCACGGACCAAAUUGUUGAACCCCAAGUGGUAUGAAGGAAUGAUGUCUAGCGGAUACGAGGGUGUUCGUGAAAUUGAAAAGCGGCUAACAAACACUGUUGGAUGGAGUGCAACUUCAGGUCAAGUCGACAACUGGGUCUAUGAAGAGGCUAACUCAACCUUCAUCCAAGACGAGGAGAUGUUGAACAGACUCAUGAGCACCAACCCGAAUUCAUUUAGGAAGUUGGUGCAGACCUUUUUGGAAGCCAACGGACGUGGGUACUGGGAAACUUCACAGGAGAACAUUGAGAAGUUGAGGCAGUUGUAUUCUGAAGUUGAAGACAAGAUUGAAGGUAUUGAUCGGUAAAUUGUAAAUGUACUGCUGGAAAGAUUUGCAAAUAUCAGUUAAACAAUGUUGAUUUCCUGAGUUGUUUCUCUUGAAUGAAUGGAUGCGACUCUCAGGAACAUUCAAAACGCAAGUUUUGUCUACAAGUUUCACUCUUGCAAUUCUAUCCCUUUCAAGGGUUUUGUUAGCAUCUCAGAAGAACAAAAAUCUUCUCUCCCGUUACUAUACCAAGUAUACUCCCAGAGGCAUGUAAGCCUGCUUGAAGAGAGAGAACAAAACUGGGCCAAAAAAGGCCAGCAGCUGCCUGAACAGAAUUGAACACCAAGGCCUAAUAUAAAAUAGAAAGACACCAACAGAACAAACCCCAAACAAAGAGAUAAGCCACGACAAAGAACCAUAUCCCAAAGCACCACAACCAGGAAGGCAGGCAUUGAAAGAGGAACAAAAGAAGAAACCGAAAAAUGUUUCUUGAUUUUGAGAACUGCACCACUCAGUCAAGAAAAAGAAACUGAAACGAGUAUCUUCUUCUCUUGUAUUUUUCAGCCAAAGAAAAAGAUCUAACACAUUUUUCCAUUCAAGUGAAUCCCCAUCAGUAAAUGAAUGAUACAAGGUAAAUCUACAAAGAUGUUAAAAAGGAAGAAUUACAAAAAUUUUAUGGAAAAAUAUAAAGAGCCCUCCCCCUAAACAAAAAAAAUUGAAAAAAAAUAAAGUAAAAACAGAAUUUGGUAUAACAGGUACAAAGUAGUUUGAAGCUUUCUUCCUCUAUUCUGGCUCUUGUAAGUAUUAGAAGAUGUGUUUACCUUCAAACCAACUCCAUUAGGAGCGGGUCACCUUCUGCCAUUAUUCUUAUCAGCUUUAUGAAAUCUUGUUCACUAGACACAUUCCAUGGAUGAACAGCAGGUACUUGAGCAGAAUAAAGAGUUGAAUUAUCAGGUGGUGGCUUCCGCUUAUAUACCAUUGUGCUAAGCACUGAAUCAAAAUUCUGAGGUGAAUCCAUUGACAUAAAGAACAUGGGUAUGGCAACCUUUUGAUGAAUAUCUAGAUCACCCACCAAACCAACAAGAUCUACAAAGUCGGUAACGAAGUGCUGAGGAAUGUAGAAUAUCUCAGAACUGCCUAUCACGAGGCUCUGGUCACUUUUCAUAGCUUCCUUGUAAUUGACUUGGAAGUGAACCGGCAUUGAACCAACAACUUUUCUUACCAUUUCUGCUUGCUUUUGCAUACCAAUCUGUUUCCAUUGGUUGACACAGUUGUCCAGGACUUGGAUACCUAAUGCCCAUAAUGUUUGUUAGAAAGAUGGGGACGGAUCUACAUGUGUUGCUCACAAUAAGCAUGCAGCAUCACAAUAUGGACAUAGAUAUGAACACUAUUUAUCCAACUGCAGUAUUGCCUUUCAUCUUAUACCAUUGAGAUCGUUACUGCUAGUUUAAAAAAGACAUUAAGAUAUUGAUUUUUGUGAAUGGCGUGAGAAAGAAGAAACAAAGCUCCAGCAUAUCAAACCAAUGUGCAUGAUCCUAAUGCAUAGAGAAAAAUGAAAUUGGUAAAAAUAAGGCAACUUUAUGUCUUGUGAUGACCAGAAAAGUAGAGGACUAAGAAAAAGAAAUUACCUUGUCAGUAAUCCAAAGUUUAGCCUUGCUAGCUUGAAGCAGAUUCCAGUAAUUAAGAAUAGUAUCAUCCUGAAGGAAUAAAAAGCCUUCGGCACUGCUAUAUCGAUCAAAUAUCUUGGGCAGAUGCCUAUAACCAAUAUUAGAUAGUAUUAUUAGUAAACAAAGUGACACCAGUUAAGAUGAAAAGUAUGGGAUAUCCACUUGACAAGGCAAACAGUAAAAAUUUGACUUCACACCAAUUCCAUGGUUAUCAAUAACAAAUGCAUGCCUAAGAAACCAAUAUCUAUCAACUAGAUAAUAACCAGAACUGCAAUAAAAGACACGGCAACAAACUCAAACUGACUUAACUCCAAAAUAAAUUGGAAGGAAGAAAAGGAAACAAUGCCUCCUUAAGAAAUGGACAAUUAUAGAAGGAAGUCGGAGACUCCAAGAAAAAUCACUCUCUUGUCUUGCAUGUGCAAAUACUAGAAUGGUUUAUCCACAAGCACCAAUGUCUCAUGCCCCAAAGAAUUUGAAAAUAGACUAGCUUAAACUAUUGUAGUACAUAUAUCAUUUCCUCCAGCACACAAUGUCCUUCAACAUAAGGCAUAUAUUUCAAAACAUCACAAAUGGAGAUCAGCACAAUCAAUCUGGAUGGAUGUUUUCUGAAGUACUCUGUCCUGGCUUGAAGACCAGAGCUUACAUAUCAAGUUUGAACCUGGUGAUUAAACUCAUUCCCAGUGGCAUGAGUGAACGGCAAUGUAAGUUGAAGGAUAUGAUGAUUCCUAGGGCCAUAGUCUCCAACUAAAAGAAUCUCAAUACAAAAAGGAUUGCAAAAGUUCUCCAGGAUUUCAAUAAUACCGUAAACAUGUUUUAGAAAGAGGAGUUGAAAUAAGAAACAUGACAAGAAACAUAACCACCAAAUAUGUUUACAUUGACUGCCUUAUUUUAUGCAACUCUAACAGCCAUCCAAAUUCCAACUUUAAUGUCCAAAUGCACAAGUUCAAUACUGUGACUAUAGGGCAUAAGCAAAAAUCUAUACAUUAAAUGGAUCCCACAAUCUAAGAGAGAUCAAUCCUAGAUAAUCAAAAAGAUUUUGAACUAAAUGUAAGUAAUAAAACCAAUUCCAUGAAAACUCUCUCCAUGCACCCUUGCUACCCAUAACUUUAACCUCAGACUUAAUUAGAAAAAAUCUCUUUCAUUUUACAAGAGUGCCACAACUUCCCACCACGCCAGCUCCCCAGCCUCUAUAGGAGACAGUUUUAGUUCUAGUUAGUAGAUUUUUCUAUCUAACAUAUGAAUUGAAAUCAGAUAUCCAAGGCAAUGGUUUGCAUAAGAAUCUAGAUUUAAAUUAUGGUAACAAAACAAGCAAAAUAAAUAUUUAUAUCAUAUAGAUAACUUACUUGUACAUAUGAUCCAAAUGGCCUACUUCAACAGCAAGAUCCUCAUUCUUCUGCCACGACAAGAUAAUCACGGUUUUGAAUAUUCUCCCAUAAAGCAAUCUCCAUUCCAAGGCAGUGCGUUCGACAGGCCCAUUGCAAAACAUAAUAAGCACAACAUUCCCAAAAUUCUUCCUCCAUCGAAUUAAAUUGGCGAUCUCAUAAUUCACAGUUCCUAUUUCCUCCACUCCAAGAUGCACAGACGGAAACUUCCGAGGAACAAACUCCUUUCGAUCCCCAUGACCUAUAGUCGGACGUGGCCGAUCCAAUUCAAAUGACAUUAACCUAGGCUGCCGAUACCCUACAGCAAGCAAGUCCUGAAGCCAAGCAGCAGUAAACUUCACAUCCUGCUCACUCCAAAACCCCUCCUCUGCCAUAGCAAAACUCAACUCUAAAAUCUUCUCAAACAACCUAUGCUCACUCGACCUCCAUGCAACCAAGAACUUAACAAGCCUCCCAACAUUAACAUGAAGAUCCUUCUCUUCAGAAAAAGGGUACCCCCCAACUGUAUCAUGUCUAUGCACAGUAGGUGGAUAAACCACAACAUACCCACCAAUCUCCCAUAGAAGCCUUUGGCCCCAGUAGCCUCUCAAAACAUCAGAAGCCAUAUUACUAACUGAAACUGGAAGCAUCAAACCCCAGAAAGCCGAUGAAUGGUAAAUCGUAUUAAACGAAUUAACUGGCACCAUUACCCCUUGAGGCAGUGCCACUUUCGGGGCACGCUCAUCAAACCUAAUAUCGAAAGCUUCCAAACCCGUUUUCCUAGUAUAAUAAAACACAGAAUCAACAUCAGGCAAUCCAUUCGAUAUCCCUUGUUGUAUAAACUGUUUCCCACCAUAAACCUCAGUGUAAAACUCUUCAUGACCAAGUUCACCCACAUUCUCUAAUGGUAACCCUCUUGGCCAAACUGUCCUUUGACCAAAAUGAACGUAAGGAUUCACUACACUCCUAUUCUCAUUCUCAUGACUAUAUUGCAAUAUAGUCUCCUGCCUAGCCCCCUCUCCUAUUAACUCCACAUCAAAAUGCUUCCCUAAAUCACCAUCAAUAACCUCUCCACGAUCAUCAGCAUCAAAAAUUUUCUUUGCCCCAUGUUGGAUCGCGAACAAAUACCCCACACUCUUCCGUAAAUAAGAAUCGUAAGGUACAUAACCCAAAACUCGAAACCCUAAACUCGCUUGUUGUUCUAAAGACAAGUAAAUUGCACCCUUCAAGGACCAAUCAUUUGGUGUCCUUGAAUUCCCAAUUGCAAGCAAUUGCCAACCUUUAAUUCUAACAAGCUUUUUAAGCGAAUCGGUAGGGUAAUGAGAGACACUAACAACAAUCCAUUUCUCUGACCGGAAAUUCGCAUAAGUCGAAGACUUGUCAGUGAUUGCUGGAAUAUUGUUCCAAUCUAUGCGAGGGAAAUGAUGGGUUUUGUCUAGAGGUUGUGCUUGUGAUUGAAGGUAGAGAAAAGCGGCGGUGUCACCAGUGCUCCGGAGGAAGAAGAUGGCGGCGACAGUGGCGAUCAGCACUGUGAUUGUGAUGAUUUUGUAGAAAUUCUCGGAUACCCAUGUUGAGAAAUCUAAAGACUUUGACUCUGAGAAGCGCUGGUGGAGGUCGUGGUGGUGGUGGUUGAUGGUGGGUCUGAUUUGGGAUUUGGGAGAUUUUGGGUUUGUUGUUACUCGGCCUUGGACCAACA
rnacentral:lncRNA from 1 species